rnacentral:rRNA from 1 species
UCUCUUCGGAGCAGUUUUACGAGGUGCUGCAUGGUUGUCGUCAGCUCGUGCCGUGAGGUGUCGGGUUAAGUCCCAUAACGAGCGCAACCCCUACCUUUAGUUGCCAUCAGGUAAUGCUGGGGACUCUAAAGGAACUGCCUACGCAAGUAGUGAGGAAGGCGGGGAUGACGUCAAAUCAGCACGGCCCUUACGUCCAGGGCUACACACGUGCUACAAUGGCCGAUACAGAGGGCAGCUACCUGGUGACAGGAUGCAAAUCUCCAAAGUCGGUCUCAGUUCGGAUCGGAGUCUGCAACCCGACUCCGUGAAGUUGGAUUCGCUAGUAAUCGCGCAUCAGCCAUGGCGCGGUGAAUACGUUCCCGGGCCUU